AACGUAGGUGGCGAGCGUUAUCCGGAUUUACUGGGCGUAAAGGGCUCGUAGGCGGCCAACUAAGUCAGACGUGAAAUCCCCAGGCUCAACCUGGGAACUGCGUCUGAUACUGGAUGGCUUGAAUUCGGGAGAGGGAUGCAGAAUUCCAGGUGUAGCGGUGAAAUGCGUAGAUAUCUGGAGGAAUACCGGUGGCGAAGGCGGCAUCCUGGACCGACAUUGACGCUGAGGAGCGAAAGCUAGGGGAGCAAACGGG
rnacentral:rRNA from 1 species